UACGAAGGGGGCUAGCGUUGCUCGGAUUGACUGGGCGUAAAGGGCGCGUAGGCGGUUCGUACAGUCAGACGUGAAAUUCCUGGGCUCAACCUGGGGGCUGCGUUUGAUACGUGCGGACUUGAGUGCGGAAGAGGGUCGUGGAAUUCCCAGAGUAGAGGUGAAAUUCGUAGAUAUUGGGAAGAACACCGGUGGCGAAGGCGGCGACCUGGUCCGAUACUGACGCUGAGGCGCGAAAGCGUGGGGAGCAAACAGG
rnacentral:rRNA from 1 species